rnacentral:lncRNA from 1 species
CCUCCAUGUUACACAUCCCAUAAUAACUCCAGUAUUCUCUGUACACAGUAGCUGCAGAUUGGGUGGUAGGGGUAUAGGAGUGUUGAUAGAGCGUCCAAUAGAAACACAUCCCACAGAUUUACUAUAAUCAGAUGAUACAGUGGAUCAUCUUCAGUAAUGAGUUACUGAGUUACUCUACAGUCCUGCUGUUCUGAUGUAACAGUCAGUGCUGUGAUUCUCCACUAGAGGUCAGUAUAAACUGUUAAUAACACAGAAAUCCUCUGUUCUUACAGCUGAAGCUCCGCCCCUUCCGCCACGCCCACCCUUCUUACCGAAAUGCCCGGAGUACGUAUUAGUGCGCCCUGUUUCCGGCCGGGACCACCUCCCCGCCAGCAGCGCUCCGGCUACUGAAGGUCUGAGAACUUCCAGCUGUAGAUCCUACAGGACCUGAGUGAACACACCUUUACACACUUUUACACAGCCCAGAUACAGUACACUCCUUCAGCCAGGACAUGCUAAACUACCCACCCCGCAUUUUAACGUUUAUUUAAGGUUUAAUCACAUUUUUUAAAAUCCCUUCAUUGUCCAGUUAUGUAAUUAUAUAAUAUAUAACAAUAACUCUUUUAAUGUUAUGUACUAUAUAAAUGCUCAAUUUGUGGUUAAUGAUAACUGAUUGUCAGUUAACACAUGUUUUCAUGCUGUAAUUGGCUUUAGUAAAAAAAAUGCUCAACUAGUAAAAAAGGUACUUUCAAUUUUAAAUAAAAAUGUAGCUACUAAUAAAAUCCUAUUAUCGUAUUUAUGAGAGGUGUACUACCACGUGCACAAUCACAUGCACUAUCACAUGUAUGAUCACAUGCACCCUUCACACAUACUACCACAUGUACUAUCACGUGCACUGUAACGGGUAAUAUCAGGUUCCACCACAGCUUGCAUCUACAUCUGGAUCACCAUCUUCUGGUGUUUCCUUACUUCUGAAACACAAAUUAUAAUUACUGUCAUAGUGAUGAUGAUGAUGAUGAUGAUGAUGGUGAUGAUAGUGAUGAUGGUUCCAGCAGGAGAGUCUGAGGGUCAGCUGCUGCCUGGAAACCCGAACGUGUUGCUGGUUAAUCUGGGGAAGCUGGUGAUGGAGGAGCCGGGUGAGCCUGUGCUGGGAGAGCCGACGUCCUGUUUUGGAUGUGGAUCCGUGUUGGAGUCCAGCUACGAUAACAUGGUAAAAGAAUGUUAUUUCUGUCAGUCUUGGAGCCCCGCCCCUUCCUCUCCUAUAGACCCGCCCACUGGUUGUGAGGACUGCCUCUUCCAGUUGAGUCCUGGGAUCAGAGGCUCCUCAGCGGACAGUAACCUGCUCAUCUUCUGUAUCUCUACCUCACACUCCAUGAGUACCAGUACUCAGGUGUGUGUUGCUAUGGUGUUAUGCUAUUGUUGCUGUAGAGUUGCUAGGUAAGGUUGUCAGUAUGCCUUUGCUAGGGGGUUGAUAUGGACUUCCAGGUGAAUGGUGUUGCUAAGCGUACACUAGGU